rnacentral:rRNA from 1 species
UACGGGGGGGGCAAGCGUUGUUCGGAAUUACUGGGCGUAAAGGGUUUGUAGGUGGCUUGUUAAGUCAGACGUGAAAUCCCUCAGCUUAACUGGGGAACUGCGUCUGAUACUGGCGAGCUUGAGUGCAGGAGAGGAACGCGGAAUUCCAGGUGUAGCGGUGAAAUGCGUAGAUAUCUGGAGGAACACCGGUGGCGAAGGCAAUCCCCUGGGCCUGCACUGACGCUCAUGCACGAAAGCGUGGGGAGCAAACAGG